rnacentral:rRNA from 1 species
GAUGAACGCUGGCGGCGUGCCUAAUACAUGCAAGUCGAGCGAACAGACGAGGAGCUUGCUCCUCUGACGUUAGCGGCGGACGGGUGAGUAACACGUGGAUAACCUACCUAUAAGACUGGGAUAACUUCGGGAAACCGGAGCUAAUACCGGAUAACAUGUUGAACCGCAUGGUUCAACAGUGAAAGACGGUCUUGCUGUCACUUAUAGAUGGAUCCGCGCCGCAUUAGCUAGUUGGUAAGGUAACGGCUUACCAAGGCAACGAUGCGUAGCCGACCUGAGAGGGUGAUCGGCCACACUGGAACUGAGACACGGUCCAGACUCCUACGGGAGGCAGCAGUAGGGAAUCUUCCGCAAUGUGCGAAAGCCUGACGGAGCAACGCCGCGUGAGUGAAGAAGGUCUUCGGAUCGUAAAACUCUGUUAUUAGGGAAGAACAAAUGUGUAAGUAACUAUGCACGUCUUGACGGUACCUAAUCAGAAAGCCACGGCUAACUACGUG